UUAUAAGAGACAGCAGUCGCCGCGGUAAUACAGAGGGUGCGAGCGUUAAUCGGAUUUACUGGGCGUAAAGCGUGCGUAGGCGGCUUCUUAAGUCGGAUGUGAAAUCCCUGAGCUUAACUUAGGAAUUGCAUUCGAUACUGUGAAGCUAGAGUAUGGGAGAGGAUGGUAGAAUUCCAGGUGUAGCGGUGAAAUGCGUAGAGAUCUGGAGGAAUACCGAUGGCGAAGGCAGCCAUCUGGCCUAAUACUGACGCUGAGGUACGAAAGCAUGGGGAGCAAACAGGAUUAGAUACCCGCGUAGUCCCUGUCUCUUAUAC
rnacentral:rRNA from 1 species